CUCCAGACUCCUACGGGAGGCAGCAGUGGGGAAUAUUGCACAAUGGGGGAAACCCUGAUGCAGCGACGCCGCGUGAGUGAAGAAGUAUUUCGGUAUGUAAAGCUCUAUCAGCAGGGAAGAAAAUGACGGUACCUGACCAAGAAGCCCCGGCUAACUACGUGCCAGCAGCCGCGGUAAUACGUAGGGGGCAAGCGUUAUCCGGAUUUACUGGGUGUAAAGGGAGCGUAGACGGUUGUGCAAGUCAGAAGUGAAAGCCCGGGGCUCAACUCCGGGACUGCUUUUGAAACUGUGAAACUGGAGUGCAGGAGAGGUAAGCGGAAUUCCUGGUGUAGCGGUGAAAUGCGUAGAUAUCAGGAGGAACACCGGCGGCGAAGGCGGCCUGCUGGACCGUAACUGACGUUGAGGCUCGAAAGCGUGGGGAGCAAACAGGAUUAGAUACCCCCGUAGU
rnacentral:rRNA from 1 species